GAUGAAUGCUGGCGGCGUGCCUAAUCCAUGCAAGUCGAGCGAACGGACGAGAAGCUUGCUUCUCUGAUGUUAGCUGCGCACGUCUGAGUAACACGUGGAUACCCUACCUAUUAGACUCGUAUUACCUCGGGGCUCCGGAUCUCCUCCCCUAGCACCUUCUGAACUGCACGCCUCCAACGCGCACGACGGUCUUGCUGUCACUUUGCGAUCGAUCUGCGCUGCAUUAGCUAGUUGGUAAGGUAACGGCUUACCAAGGCAACGAUGCAUAGCCGACCUGAGAGGGUGAUCGGCCACACUAGAACUGAGACACGGUCGAGACGCCUACGGGAGGCAGCCGUAGGGAAUCUUCCGCACUGGGCGACAGCCUGACGGAGCGACGCCGCGUGAGUGGUGAAGGUCCUCGGAUCGUAAAACUCUGUUAUUAGGGAAGAACAUAUGUGUAAGUCACCGUGCACAUCCUGACGGUACCUAGUAAGAAAGCAACGGCUACCCACGAG
rnacentral:rRNA from 1 species